UACGGGGGGGGCAAGCGUUGUUCGGAAUUACUGGGCGUAAAGGGCUCGUAGGCGGCCAACUAAGUCAAACGUGAAAUCCCUCGGCUUAACCGGGGAACUGCGUCUGAUACUGGAUGGCUUGAGUUUGGGAGAGGGAUGCGGAAUUCCAGGUGUAGCGGUGAAAUGCGUAGAUAUCUGGAGGAACACCGGUGGCGAAGGCGGCGUCCUGGACCAAUACUGACACUGAAACGCGAAAGCCAGGGGAGCAAACGGG
rnacentral:rRNA from 1 species